rnacentral:rRNA from 1 species
AUUGAACGCUGGCGGCAGGCCUAACACAUGCAAGUCGAGCGGGGUUUUCGGACCUAGCGGCGGACGGGUGAGUAAUGCGUAGGAAGCUACCCGAUAGAGGGGGAUACCAGUUGGAAACGACUGUUAAUACCGCAUAAUGUCUACGGACCAAAGUGUGGGACCUUCGGGCCACAUGCUAUCGGAUGCGCCUACGUGGGAUUAGCUAGUUGGUGAGGUAAUGGCUCACUAAGGCGACGAUCCCUAGCUGGUUGGAGAGGAUGAUCAGCCACACUGGAACUGAGACACGGUCCAGACUCCUACGGGAGGCAGCAGUGGGGAAUAUUGGACAAUGGGCGCAAGCCUGAUCCAGCCAUGCCGCGUGUGUGAAGAAGGCCUUCGGGUUGUAAAGCACUUUCAGUAGGGAGGAAGCGUUGUGUGUUAAUAGUACACAGCGUUGACGUUACCUACAGAAGAAGCACCGGCUAACUCUGUGCCAGCCGCCGCAGUAACAC